rnacentral:rRNA from 1 species
AUUACGGGGUGCAGCAGGCGCGAAAACUUUACAAUGCGAGCAAUCGUGAUAAGGGAACCCCGAGUGCCCGUAUAUUCGGGCUGUCCGCCAGUGCAAAAAACUGGUGAAGAAAGAGCCGGGCAAGACCGGUGCCAGCCGCCGCGGUAAUACCGGCGGCUCGAGUGGUGGCCACUAUUACUGGGCUUAAAGCGUCCGUAGCUUGGUUGUUAAGUCUCCUGGGAAAUCCAUCGGCUCAACCGAUGGGCGUUCAGGAGAUACUGGCAACCUAGGGACCGGGAGAGGUGAGAGGCACUCCAGGGGUAGGAGUGAAAUCCUGUAAUCCUUGGGGGACCACCUGUGGCGAAGGCGUCUCACUAGAACGGCUCCGACAGUGAGGGACGAAAGCUGGGGGAGCAAACCGGAUUAGAUACCCGGGUAGUCCCAGCUGUAAACGAUGCGCGUUAGGUGUAUCGGUGACCACGAGUCACCGAGGUGCCGAAGGGAAACCGUGAAACGUGCCGCCUGGGAAGUACGGUCGCAAGGCUGAAACUUAAAGGAAUUGGCGGGGGAGCACAAU